rnacentral:misc_RNA from 1 species
GAUUGGCCCAUUCAACAAAUUGACAUUUCCAAUGCUUUUAUGCAUAUGGUGAUUUGCAUGAUGAUGCUUAUAUGGAGAAACCUCUAGGGUUCAUUGAUCCAGACCGAAGCACUCAUGUGUGUAAACUCAAGCGAUCCUUGUAUGGCCUUAAGCAGGCACUGUGUCAAUGGUACUCGAAACUCAAGCAUGCCUUACUUGCUCUACUUUUCAAAACUAGCAACUUUGACUCCUCUUUGUUCAUUUAUAAUGAUGGUGAUGAAAAAAACUUAUUGCUUAGUUUAUGUAAAUGAUACAACAAUACAGCCUUUAUUCAAUAAACUAUUCAAUCUCUCAAGCAAGAUUUCAUGAUUCGAGAGUUAGGGCCAUUGGAUUAUUUCCUUGGAAUCAAAACUACACAGACCUCCACCGGUUUAUUCUUGACCCAGGCUAAAUAUAUUAAUGAUUUAUUAUGUAAGGUACAAAUGGAUCAAUGCAAGUGCAUCUCAACUCCUGUGUGUACCAAAACUAAACUCAGUGUGCGUUCUAGUUCUCCAUUCUCUAAUCCAACCCUGUAUAGAAGUAUAGUUGGUGGGUUGCAAUAUCUUAUUAUUACUAGACCAUAUAUUUGCUUUGUAAUCAAUCGUGUUUCUUAAUUUAUGCAUGAUCCAAAGGACAUUCAUU